UUCUAUGGCCAUGCCACCCUGAACAAGCCUGAUGUCUGAUCUUGGAAGCUAAGCAGGGUUGGGCCUGGUUAGUACUUGGAUGGGAGACCACCUAGGAAGACCAGGUGCUAUAGGCA
rnacentral:rRNA from 1 species